rnacentral:tRNA from 1 species
AGUCUUAUAUUCAAGAAUGAUAUAAAAUUGCAAAUUUUAUGGUGUAUAUAAUACUAAGGCUU